rnacentral:rRNA from 1 species
UACAGAGGUCCCGAGCGUUGUUCGGAUUCAUUGGGCGUAAAGGGUGCGUAGGCGGCGCGGUAAGUCGGAUGUGAAAUCUCGGAGCUUAACUCCGAAACUGCAUUCGAUACUGCCGUGCUUGAGGACUGGAGAGGAGACUGGAAUUUACGGUGUAGCGGUGAAAUGCGUAGAUAUCAGGAGGAACACCGGUGGCGAAGGCGGGUCUCUGGGCCGUAACUGACGCUGAGGAGCGAAAGCGUGGGGAGCGAACAGG